AAUUAAUUAUAGCCUGUGCACACACUAGGCCACAACAGACUUAGGGAAUGCAUUACUCAAAAGUGUGAGCUGAGAGACUAGGCGCUUUCGCAUCGCGUAGUUCAAGGAACUAGCCAGCAGGAUCGUUCCUAGAGAACCAGUUUCUCCCUCGGGCCGUUUUCCUGGUUGCAUUCGCACCGGCAGCAGGAACUCUGAAGCAAUCAACCGUGACGUCUUUAUUAUAUGAACAACCGGUUGAUACUAAAUCUCCUAUGACAAUUUGUAGUGUUAUCAUCGAGGCUGAGAAAAGAACACAACGCUGCAGACAACAGAAUGCCCUGCAAAUCAGGAAAUAACGUGUGAGAGCCUGCGCUCGUCCCAUGGAUACAUAUACACUGUGCCGCCGGAGAUCCCGUGCUCUGAAAAGUGCGAACAAGGAUGGUACUAUCAGAAUGGGACGUUUAUUGUCGACUCGACUCUGAAUGCCGGUGGAAGGAGGUUACCGGUUGUAGUGGAUGUAACUCCUCAGAAUCUGACCAUCCGUGUCUGCGACAACCUGCAGUGGCAACUUGACUGUGGCAAGUGUAACUGUAUUAUCAAUUAUACAGG